AGGAAUAUUGGACAAUGGAGGCAACUCUGAUCCAGCCAUGCCGCGUGAAGGAAUAAGGCCCUAUGGGUUGUAAACUUCUUUUAGACGGGACAAAACCCCUUUACGUGUAAAGGGUUGAUGGUACUGUCAGAAUAAGCAUCGGCUAACUUCGUGCCAGCAGCCGCGGUAAUACGAAGGAUGCAAGCGUUAUCCGGAAUUAUUGGGUUUAAAGGGUGCGUAGGCGGACUAAUAAGUCAGUGGUGAAAGCCUGCAGCUUAACUGCAGAAUUGCCAUUGAUACUGUUAGUCUUGAGUACAGUUGAGGUAGGCGGAAUGUGUCAUGUAGCGGUGAAAUGCUUAGAUAUGACACAGAACACCGAUUGCGAAGGCAGCUUGCUAAGCUGUAACUGACGCUGAGGCACGAAAGCGUGGGGAGCAAACA
rnacentral:rRNA from 1 species